GACGAACGCUGGCGGCGUGCUUAACACAUGCAAGUCGAGCGGUAAGGCCCUUUCGGGGGUACGACGAGCGGCGAACGGGUGAGUAACACGUGGGUGACCUGCCCUCAGCUCUGGGAUAAGCCUGGGAAACUGGGUCUAAUACUGGAUAUGACUCCACGGUGCAUGUCGUGGGGUGGAAAGCCUUGUGCGGCUGAGGAUGGGCCCGCGGCCUAUCAGCUUGUUGGUGGGGUGAGGCCUACCAAGGCGACGACGGGUAGCCGGCCUGAGAGGGCGACCGGCCACACUGGGACUGAGACACGGCCCAGACUCCUACGGGAGGCAGCAGUGGGGAAUAUUGGACAAUGGGCGAAAGCCUGAUGCAGCGACGCCGCGUGAGGGAUGACGGCCUCGGUUGUAAC
rnacentral:rRNA from 1 species